GCUGUGUCCUUGCCAAGGCUCAGAGCCUUGUCGUCUUGAGUCUAGGCUUCCUAGGUUCAUCAUGGCACUGUGCUUCCUGCAAUCUUGCUACCCUCCAUGAUUUUAGCAAGCGAACGGGAUAUAAAUUCCGAAUUCUCACAAAACCUGCAAUUACCUUCUCAUUUGGAAUCCAGGGACUCUCUUUCUCCCAAGGGCUGCUACCAACUUCUCUUCUCUGAAAGAAUCCUUCGUAAUCUCUGCUUGAAAGCCUUUAAAAAAGUAUCAAAAGUCAGAAGCUGUUGGACUCAGACGUGGAGUACAAGUGAACCACAUAAGAGGAAAAUAUCGGGCUACGUUGAAAGAGG
rnacentral:lncRNA from 10 species